UGCCGUUAUGAAAGAGGCAUGAGGCUGCUCAUUCACUCCUUUCACCAAGUGAGGUUACAGUGAAAAAACUGCUCUCUCUGCGUGGGUCCUCCCCAGACACUGGAUCUCUCACCAUCUUGAUGUUGGACUUCACAGCUCCCAGAACUAUCUUUCCUGAGCACACGGAAGAUCAAGACCACACUCACUGACUUCUCAUAGUCAAGCAAUUUUGGCCAAUUAAAUGUCAGUUGGAAACACCUGUGUCAGCUUCUCUGUGGCAGUGAGAAGUCCCUGUGUGACAUCCCAACUCUCCCCGCUCCUGCGUUGGCAACCAAGAAAGCCUUGUGUUGGAGGUGGGGCCACAAGUUUAAAGAUCCACUUCUUUAUUACCUUUUUGAAGAACAGGAACCUUUGUCUGGAAAUUCCACAAGUAUGCCUUCUGCAAGAUUAAAAGUGCCACAAAGAACAAAAAUGAGCCCAGGACCAGAUGUAUGUUAGAAGCCAUCAGACAUGUUAAGUUUCAUCUCCAUUGACCUGGUGGUAAUGAAGUGGCAGCAGGCAUUUUGGGGAUCUGGCUAAGAGAAGAUGAGUUGUGGAUGCAUUUUGGGCCAGAAGUUGUAUUGCAGUAUGCACACAUCCUUUGAUGCCUGGCACAGAAAAUUGUGAGUAGCAAACAAGAUCUGAUGUUUUUGGAACCAAAAGUUAAUAUGGGGAAAAGUCUUCCAAUCAGCCAACAUGAACAAUGCAAUCAUGUCCCAGGUAGUAGGAAGGAGAAAAGGGGAGG